UUCCAGACUCCUACGGGAGGCAGCAGUGGGGAAUAUUGCACAAUGGGGGAAACCCUGAUGCAGCGACGCCGCGUGAGUGAAGAAGUAAUUCGUUAUGUAAAGCUCUAUCAGCGGGGAAGAAAAUGACGGUACCUGAGUAAGAAGCCCCGGCUAACUACGUGCCAGCAGCCGCGGUAAUACGUAGGGGGCAAGCGUUAUCCGGAUUUACUGGGUGUAAAGGGAGCGUAGACGGCAGUGCAAGCCAGAUGUGAAAGCCCGGGGCUCAACCCCGGGACUGCAUUUGGAACUGUGCUGCUAGAGUGUCGGGGAGGCAGGCGGAAUUCCUAGUGUAGCGGUGAAAUGCGUAGAUAUUAGGAGGAACACCAGUGGCGAAGGCGACUUUCUGGACUGUACCUGACGCUGAGGCGCGAAAGCAUGGGGAGCGAACAGGAUUAGAUACCCCAGUAA
rnacentral:rRNA from 1 species